rnacentral:hammerhead_ribozyme from 1 species
CUCAGCUGGCAAGUCCCGAAUAGGACGAAACGCGCGUCCUCGAC